GAACAGGACAUUUGAAUACCCACGGUGCAAGCCAGGAAGGAACUGUAGAUUGAGUGAGACAGAAAUGAAGAGGAACAAUAUUAAACUAAGACAGUCAAGGAGAAGAUCUAACACAUAUCGCUCUAAGGAGACUAUUUCAUUUACAUGCUAUUUUUCCUACCGGGAAGUCUCAAACCCAGAGGAUUUUGAGGCACAGUGCAAGGACGGAGUGAUUAACUACCCCCGAUGUGAAUCGUAUUUUGGAUAAAUGGAAAGGACAUGAGGAGC